GAUCCCAGGGACGCCCCCACAGGUAGACGAAGAGGGUCCAGAGAAAGGUGGGGAUUCCCUAACCCCUUCUUUCUUGGCACAGACAGGCAGAGAACACCUCUUUUCUCACCCCUGGGCAGCCCCAGGAAGUCAAUCCUUCCACUAUUCCUGCUCCGUGCCUCUCUUCCCUCUGCCCAGAUUCCUGGGAGACUCAAAACCCUGUUCAACUCUCUCUGGGCUAGCUGCUCCCCUCCCCAAGAGGAUUUCUCUCCAGAGCUGGUAUCAUCGCUUAAUGAUGUUCCACCAACAAGGGGAAGAUUCAGCCAUGUCUUCCUAGGAUCCAGCAUCCAAACCUGGACCAAAGUCCUCGGAUCCUCAGCAAUGGGGGUGCAUCUGGUGAUGGUGUUCAUGCUAAAUUUGUGCCAAGAGACACCUGUACUUGUGGGAGAAUUAAUAUUUCACUUCUGUUUAGGUUUCUUUUCUGGGAGCUGCUAUCACUGAAUACAUAAAGAAAUUGAGCCUAUAUGAUUUCAAUCUUCACCUUCUGAUGCUGAUGAAACAGGAUUCUAUGCAGAGAAAAUCCUCUCCAGUCAAGUAAUUGCAUCCAUUUCAUCUUCCCAGCCCUCCUCUAGAUGGGAGGUGGAGGUGUGUGUACCAAUCUCUUAAUUCAGAAAUGAGACAAGAGGAGGAAAAAGGAGUUCCGGAGGACAGUGGGGACCCCAGCCAGAGCCUGGGGACUUGGCUGCCUUGGAACCAGAACCUGGCCCCUCAGAGGAGUUGCAGAAUUUCGAUAGAGGAGUGGCAGGAGGUGUACUGGCUGAAGAGGAGGCCCAAGGAACUCCUUUUCAUACAUCAAAACUGAGCUUAUCACCUCUACCCUGAAGUCAUCCUGGACAUCACUGGUCCCAGUUAAUCACUCACUUAUCUUUGCCAUCCUUGACCUGGGAAGAGAACGUUGCCCUCAUUGGUCUGGAAUCAGCAGGUACCUCAUGGCUGGAGGUGUAUUUUCAGGUGGG
rnacentral:lncRNA from 1 species